UUUGGGAUAGCUCAGUCAGUAGAGCAUGCGACUCGUAAUCUCAAGGUCAGGGGUUCAAGCCCCACGUUCGGCAAAA